CGCGUCGUUUCCGGUUAACGAAGUACGGGUUAGGAGAGACGAAUUUGAGAGAAUGAGAUAAGGAGUUUGAAAAUGUGAGGGUUUUAGGGAAGCUGAAGGUCGAGAAAGAACAAUUUGUAUUGAUAUUCGAAGCAGUGUAGAGCCAGUUAGGGUUAUGGAUAGCCGGCAUCGCCGGCCGGAAUCUAGAGGUUAAUGACCGGUAUUUGGUUCCGAGAAGGAACAACAGAAGCAAG
rnacentral:misc_RNA from 1 species